GCGGCGAGUUGGCGGAGUGGUUACGCAGCGGAUUGCAAAUCCGUGUACAGGAGUUCGAUUCUCCUACUCGCCUCCAU
rnacentral:tRNA from 1 species